UUUUUUUUUUUUUGUCUAGAAAAACAGCUUGUGUGUGUGUGUGUGUUAAAUUUUUUUUUGCAGUGCUGAAGGUGACACCCUGGGCCUUGUACAUGCUAGGCAAGUAUUCUACCACUAAACUGCACUCCUAGCCCCCAUAAUUUUCCUCACUCUCAAGUCUCUCAACUGUUUUCAAUAAGGAGUAGUGAGGGAUAUUAUUACCAUGACCUAGUCUUAACUACUGCUCAGCCAGCAGGAAAGGUGAGCACCUUUCUGUCUUUCCCAUAGAAUCAAGGGAGCUCACCCAGAAUCAGAGGAGGGGCAGGUUCCCACCUCCUGAACUCUAGAAGGUCAUCCUAGAAAGCCAUAAGGUAUAUCCUGAAUAUGUAAAUAAACACACACAUAAACAUCUAGAGACAGAGAGAAGUAUUUGUCUUAAACUUUGCACUGUUUAAAAAGAAGUUAUUAAAAUCGGAAGUCUUGGGUCUGUUUGACUCAGGAAAACUGCUGUCUUCAGCAUAACUGGCCAGGGGACCCCAAACAGCCCUGACUACCAUCAGUCAAAACAAAGACAAGCAGAGUCAGGUGUAUGCAGGCUAGGAACUGGCACUACACAGGCCAGAAUGGGCCCCACACAUCAGGUCGGCACAGCAGAUGAGUCAGGAUUCACAGUACCCUUUCUCUGAAGUGUUUCAGUUUGCCCACAUGCAGCAGUACAACAGCAACAGCCCAUUCUUGGGCAAAACAGUCAUCAGUAGGACACAUUUUUCUCCUAAUUCAAGCACAGCCCUGAAACCUGCCCUGUUACACAUGGGAGUGUAAUUGUGAAGAGCCCAGAUUAUGAGACCUGGGUGGGGAAAAGCAGUAGUUGGAAAGUUUAGAGACAGAUGUACUGUGUGUGAGAGGGAUUCGUGAAGAAUUACUACCUUGCCACUGACUGAUAAGCCUCUGCAGAGAAGUCAGUGUGAAUGAAAAGGAAGGACAGGUAUUAGGUGAGAUGGUACACAUGCGUGGCAGUUAAAGUCUCUUCAGGAUAGGAUUCCACAUAGGACAGAGAAAAGGAUGAACUUAGGGCUAGGAAGCAAGUUUUCAAGAAAGAAACUUGAAUACUGGUGGAAGAGAAGAAAAAUGAUAGAAUGGGGCCCUGAAAGCUACGAAAAGGGUUAGGACAGAAAGACGUGUUGGCCCAGCAAAUUGGUGGGAAACAGGAAAUCGGCAAAAGUGAAUGGGCUUAGACUUUGCACUUUUACUGACCACCCCCAACAAGGGUGGGUUUGCUUAUGUUGACCCACAUGGCAGCCACUGGUCACAUUGGACUACGGAGUGAGUACCCAGCAUGUGGCAAGUGUAAACUUCAAUGUGCUGAAGGUUUGAAAUAACAGAUUUUCAGGACUUCAAGGGGAAUUCUAAUAUCUCAAUUUUUAUAUUGAUCUCAUGUCAAAAUGUCAAAAAUAUUAAAUAGAUUUCAAGUUUUUAUAAUUUGAUGUUUUCUGGAAAUUUGUAUUUAAUUUAUUUCUUCACUGUGGAGCCUUGUGGAUGUUAGAUCAAUGCUUUACUAUUGAGUUGAACCCACAGACCAUUUUCCUAGUUUAUCACGCGUUACUUAUAUGGCUCAUUGUGUCUCCAUUGUAUCGCACUGUUCCAAGUGGACCCACAGAUCUGAGAGUGACAGGUAGUAAGAGUGGAAGAGAAUAGACUAUCUACAUCAGCUGUGGGAAGAAAGGGUAUCUUAAAGAGAACAUAAAAGAGAAAGCUUAGGGGUUGGGGAUUUAGCUCAGUGGUAGAGCGCUUGCCUAGCAAGCACAAGGCCCUGGGUUCAGUCCCCAGCUCC
rnacentral:lncRNA from 1 species